rnacentral:rRNA from 1 species
GACGAACGCUGGCGGCGUGCUUAACACAUGCAAGUCGAACGGAAAGGCCCUGCUUUUGUGGGGUGCUCGAGUGGCGAACGGGUGAGUAGCACGUGAGUAACCUGCCCUUGACUUUGGGAUAACUUCAGGAAACUGGGGCUAAUACCGGAUAGGAGCUCCUGCUGCAUGGUGGGGGUUGGAAAGUUUCGGCGGUUGGGGAUGGACUCGCGGCUUAUCAGCUUGUUGGUGGGGUAGUGGCUUACCAAGGCUUUGACGGGUAGCCGGCCUGAGAGGGUGACCGGCCACAUUGGGACUGAGAUACGGCCCAGACUCCUACGGGAGGCAGCAGUGGGGAAUAUUGCACAAUGGGCGGAAGCCUGAUGCAGCAACGCCGCGUGCGGGAUGACGGCCUUCGGGUUGUAAACCGCUUUCGCCUGUGACGAAGCGUGAGUGACGGUAAUGGGUAAAGAAGAACCGGCUAACUACGUG